rnacentral:rRNA from 1 species
AAAGGCAGAAGGGAGCUUGACUGCGACACCGACGGGUGGGGCAGGUACGAAAGUAGGACUUAGUGAUCCGGUGGCAUAAAGUGGGAUUGCCAUCGCUCAACGGAUAAAAGCUACCCUGGGGAUAACAGGCUUAUCACUCCCAAGAGUUCACAUCGACGGAGUGGUUUGGCACCUCGAUGUCGGCUCAUCGCAUCCUGGGGCUGUAGUAGGUCCCAAGGGUUGGGCUGUUCGCCCAUUAAAGCGGUACGCGAGCUGGGUUCAGAACGUCGUGAGACAGUUCGGUCCCUAUCCGGCGCGGGCGCAGGAUAUUUGAGGGGAGCUGACCUUAGUACGAGAGGACCGGGUUGGACUGACCACUGGUGCACCGGUUGUCCCGCCAGGGGCAUGGCCGGGUAGCCAAGUCGGGAAGGGAUAAACGCUGAAGGCAUCUAAGCGUGAAGCCCCCCCCAAGAUGAGAUAUCCCCCGCAGAAGCGGUAAGACCCCUUGAAGACGACGAGGUUGAGAGGGCAGGGGUGGAAGUGCAGCAAUGCAUGGAGCUGACUGCUACUAAUAGGUCGAAGGCUUGACCAUAA